CGACUUUACCCACGACACACGACUUUUAACCCACGACACACGACAUAUAGGAACACUCUUAUCUACGCACGUCAAAACACACAAGUUGUUACAAAUCUGUUCGCAAGCUGUCGACAAGUUGUGUUCGCAUUGCUUGACCCUAGUUGUUGUGACAAGUUUGGGACAAGCUGUUAACUUUUUUAACAAGCUUGAUGGCAUCAUCAGACUUGUUACAAGGUUGUUCUAACAAGUCUGAUACAGUCAUGAUAUAACAAGAAUGUUACAAGAUUGACGACACAAGGUUGUAACAAUAUUGUUAUAUCAUGACUGUAUCGGACUUGUUGGAACAACCUUCAGUGCAACAAUGAUAAAUUCGACAAGGUUGUUACAAGUUGUUAACAGCUUGUUCCAUGCUUGUUGGCAACUUGGGACAAGCGGUGUGAACAGAACUUUUUGAUGGAUUCAUGGCAGACUUGCUAUACACGGAUGUGAAAUUUUACGUGCAUGUGUAGGCCUGUAGUGACUGUAGUCAUCGUUUUUCAUGAUCCAUGUUGCUGACACGCACUGAAUUAGCGUGUGUUCUUUGUUCUUUUCUAAUGUUCUGGCAAGUCACGAUGUUUCCCGCCGUUUAUAUGUUAAUUUCAUUGGCUUUGAGCCUAUUUUAGCAAUUCUGUUAAAAUUGUCUGUUGGGUGUCCACAAUUUAGGUCGUUUCCCAGAGUUUUGAGAAACUGUGAAACCAAAUAGUAUACGUAGCUGAAAUGUUAAACUAUAAAAGCAAUAUUACAGAAUUUACAGCCUAGAUAUCUCAUGUAAAUAUUCAAUAAUGACGAGGCUAGUUUCGUUUUCUCAUCCCCCGCUUUUCAAUGCAAAGCCGCGGGAACAAAUCCAAUUGCAGUAUUACGGUUAUUAACCUAAAUAAUCUUGCUCCCCGGGCGGGGGUCGCAUCAAUUUAAACUUUGAACGGAAUAUCAUAAUUUUGUAUUGUUCAUGUUGUGGUCUUGUGUUUUUUUAGAACUUGGCGAAGACUUUUGCAAAGACUUUUUACAAGUCAUGAUGUUUACCGCUAAGAGUAAAUGUGACC